CUCAGGACGAACGCUGGCGGCGUGCUUAACACAUGCAAGUCGAACGGAAAGGCCCUUCGGGGUACUCGAGUGGCGAACGGGUGAGUAACACGUGGGUGAUCUGCCCUGCACUUUGGGAUAAGCCUGGGAAACUGGGUCUAAUACCGAAUAUGAUCAUGCUCUUCAUGGGGUGUGGUGGAAAGCUUUUGCGGUGUGGGAUGGGCCCGCGGCCUAUCAGCUUGUUGGUGGGGUAAUGGCCUACCAAGGCGACGACGGGUAGCCGGCCUGAGAGGGUGACCGGCCACACUGGGACUGAGAUACGGCCCAGACUCCUACGGGAGGCAGCAGUGGGGAAUAUUGCACAAUGGGCGCAAGCCUGAUGCAGCGACGCCGCGUGAGGGAUGACGGCCUUCGGGUUGUAAACCUCUUUCAAUAGGGACGAAGCGCAAGUGACGGUACCUAUAGAAGAAGCAC
rnacentral:rRNA from 1 species